rnacentral:rRNA from 1 species
AGUGCAGAAGAGGAAAGUGGAAUUCCAUGUGUAGCGGUGAAAUGCGUAGAUAUAUGGAGGAACACCAGUGGCGAAGGCGACUUUCUGGUCUGUAACUGACGCUGAGGCUCGAAAGCAUGGGGAGCAAACAGGAUUAGAUACCCUGGUAGUCCAUGCCGUAAACGAUGAGUGCUAAGUGUUGGAGGGUUUCCGCCCUUCAGUGCUGCAGCUAACGCAUUAAGCACUCCGCCUGGGGAGUACGACCGCAAGGUUGAAACUCAAAGGAAUUGACGGGGGCCCGCACAAGCGGUGGAGCAUGUGGUUUAAUUCGAAGCAACGCGAAGAACCUUACCAGGUCUUGACAUCCUUUGACCACUCUAGAGAUAGAGCUUUCCCUUCGGGGACAAAGUGACAGGUGGUGCAUGGUUGUCGUCAGCUCGUGUCGUGAGAUGUUGGGUUAAGUCCCGCAACGAGCGCAACCCUUAUUAUUAGUUGCCAGCAUUCAGUUGGGCACUCUAGUGAGACUGCCGGUGAUAAACCGGAGGAAGGUGGGGAUGACGUCAAAUCAUCAUGCCCCUUAUGACCUGGGCUACACACGUGCUACAAUGGAUGGUACAACGAGUCGCAAAACCGCGAGGUUAAGCUAAUCUCUUAAAGCCAUUCUCAGUUCGGAUUGUAGGCUGCAAUUCGCCUACAUGAAGCCGGAAUCGCUAGUAAUCGCGGAUCAGAACGCCGCGGUGAAUACGUUCCCGGGCCUUGUACACGCCGCCCGUCACACCACGAGAGUUUGUAACACCCAAAGUCGGUGAGGUAACCUUCGGGAGCCAGCCGCCUAAGGUGGGACAGAUAAUUGGGGUG